GACGAACGCUGGCGGCGUGCUUAACACAUGCAAGUCGAACGGGCCCGCCCCUGUUUUUGGGGGUGGGUUGAGUGGCGAACGGGGGGGUAUCACGUGAGUAACCUGCCCCCUGCUCCUGGAUAACUGCUUGAAAGGGCGGCUAAUACGGGGUGUGCCGGCUGGUCCGCAUGGGCCUGGUCGGGAUAUUUUCAUCUUCGGGUGUUUCGGUGGGGGAUGGGCUCGCGGCCUGUCAGCUGGUUGGUGGGGGGAUUGCCCGCCAAGGUGGUGGCGGGUAGCCGGCUUGAGGGGUUGGCGGGCCACACGGGGACUGAGCCACGGCGCGGACUACUGCGGGCGGCGGCAGUGGGGGGUAGUGCACAAGGGGCGGAAGCCUGAUGCAGCGACGUCGCGUGAGGGAUGGAGGCCUUCGGGUUGUGAACCUCUUUCUCCGGUGGUGAAGGCCCUGUCCGUUGCGGCGGGGUUGACGGUAGCCGGGUAUGAAGCGCCGGCUAACUACGUG
rnacentral:rRNA from 1 species